AGUGAACGCUGGCGGUAGGCCUAACACAUGCAAGUCGAACGGCAGCACAGUAAGAGUUUGCUCUUAAGGGUGGCGAGUGGCGGACGGGUGAGGAAUACAUCGGAAUCUACUUUUUCGUGGGUGAUAACGUAGGGAAACUUACGCUAAUACCGCAUACGACCUACGGGUGAAAGCAGGGGAUCUUCGGACCUUGCGCGAUUGAAUGAGUCGAUGUCGGAUUAGCUAGUUGGCGGGGUAAAGGCCCACCAAGGCGACGAUCCGUAGCUGGUCUGAGAGGAUGAUCAGCCACACUGGAACUGAGACACGGUCCAGACUCCUACGGGAGGCAGCAGUGGGGAAUAUUGGACAAUGGGCGCAAGCCUGAUCCAGCCAUACCGCGUGGGUGAAGAAGGCCUUCGGGUUGUAAAGCCCUUUUGUUGGGAAAGAAAAGCAGCAGGUUAAUACCCCGCUGUUCUGACGGUACCCAAAGAAUAAGCACCGGCUAACUUCGUG
rnacentral:rRNA from 1 species